rnacentral:rRNA from 1 species
UACGUAGGGUGCAAGCGUUUAAUCGGAAUUACUGGGCGUAAAGCGUGCGCAGGCGGCUUUGCAAGACAGAUGUGAAAUCCCCGGGCUUAACCUGGGAACUGCAUUUGUGACUGCAUGGCUGGAGUGCGGCAGAGGGGGAUGGAAUUCCGCGUGUAGCAGUGAAAUGCGUAGAGAUGUGGAGGAAUACCGAUGGCGAAGGCAGCCCCCUGGGCCAAUACUGACGCUCAUGCACGAAAGCGUGGGGAGCAAACAGG